GAGGGUUGGCCCCUCGAUAUCGGUGUUCAGGCACAGGUCUCAAACCACCUUUAUGUUGCUGGACUUAAGAGGUUCGGUGAGAAGCGAUAAAGGAAAAGGCAUUCUUAAAGAUGUCAGGU
rnacentral:ncRNA from 1 species